rnacentral:tRNA from 1 species
GCCUGGGUGGCUCAGUCGGUUAAGCGUCUGACUUCCGCUCAGGUCAUGAUCUCGCGGUCCGUGGGUUCGAGCCCCGCGUCGGGCU